rnacentral:rRNA from 1 species
UACGUAGGGUGCGAGCGUUAAUCGGAAUUACUGGGCGUAAAGCGUGCGCAGGCGGUUUUGUAAGCCAGAUGUGAAAUCCCCGGGCUUAACCUGGGAAUGGCAUUUGGGACUGCAAGGCUUGAGUGUGUCAGAGGGAGGUGGAAUUCCGCGUGUAGCAGUGAAAUGCGUAGAUAUGCGGAGGAACACCGAUGGCGAAGGCAGCCUCCUGGGAUAACACUGACGCUCAUGCACGAAAGCGUGGGGAGCAAACAGG